UGGCUCAGGACGAACGCUGGCGGCGUGCCUAAUACAUGCAAGUCGAACGGCUUUUCUAUGGAAGCUUGCUUCCACUGAGAAGAUAGUGCGAACGGGUGAGUAACACGUGGGUAACCUGCCCAUAAGAGGGGGAUAACAUCCGGAAACGGGUGCUAAUACCGCAUAGUUUUCUUGAUCGCAUGAUCGGGAAAGGAAAGACGGCCUUUGUGCUGUCGCUUAUGGAUGGACCCGCGGCGUAUUAGUUAGUUGGUGAGGUAACGGCUCACCAAGACGAUGAUACGUAGCCGACCUGAGAGGGUGAUCGGCCACAUUGGGACUGAGACACGGCCCAAACUCCUACGGGAGGCAGCAGUAGGGAAUCUUCCGCAAUGGACGAAAGUCUGACGGAGCAACGCCGCGUGAGUGAAGAAGGGUUUCCUCGGAUCGUAAAACUCUGUUGUCAGAGAAGAACAAGUUGGAGAGUAACUGCUCCAGCCUUGACGGUAUCUGACCAGAAAGCCACGGCUAACUACGUGCCAGCAGCCGC
rnacentral:rRNA from 1 species